UAUCUAUAAUCUAUCUAUAAACCUAUAUGAAGCCACAAUAUUUUUUGCCACGUGGCAUGAUACCUUUCACUCUCCACUCCUCUAAUUAUAUGUAAGGUGCAACAUUUAAUUAUAUUUGCACCAUAUUAAUAUUCUAUGAAUAAGUGGACUUUAUAAUUUUAAUCAACUCCUUUCUUCAUUAAUCUUCCACCCCCUCUCUUUUAUAAUUCUUUUACAUGCAUCAUAAAAUUUUUUUUUACCACGUAACAUGUUACCCUUCAUUCUCAUAGCCCAAUUUUAAAUCAAACCAUCUUCUCCUCUUCUCAACGCCCAACCCUUCACCUCCCCAGUUCAUCUAAUUACAUGUAAGAUGCAACAAUUAAUUAUAUGCACCAUAUUAAUAUUUUAUCAAUGAGUGGAUUCUAGUUAUAAUUUAUUUUUUUAAUACUUAAAUUUAGUCAUGCUAAUUGGCUAUACAUAACAUGGUGUAGUUUUCUAUAUAUCAAUAACCCGUAAAUAUAAAUUUUAUUAAAAUUUUAAAAUUUUGCUUAUAUUAUCUAUAUAUCCGCUGUAUCGCACGGAUCUCUACACUAGUCAUAUACCAGAAAGUAUGAUAGAAAACAAAAUGAAAUUUUAAAUAGGUCUAUUUUGCUUACU
rnacentral:lncRNA from 1 species